rnacentral:tmRNA from 2 species
GGGGGUGCAUUGGAAUUCGACUGGGAUCAGGCGAUGGGAGGGAAGCAAGCCGUGGUUGGUCGAAGGGCCACGAUAAAAAUCGAUUGUAUAAGUAACUGCUAACAACAGCGAAUACACCCUGAACGAAGUGGCAAUCGCCGCCUAGUUCAGGUUCCGGCCCCAAGCUAACGCUAACGGGCUGGGCGGAAGAUGCGAGGAUGCCACAUAGUCGUAGCCUUCUGUAACUCCAUGCGGCUGGUCUCGGAUGAUUCAACGGCAUUCGGGAUGAGAAACACGUUGAUGGUGAGGCUUGAGGUCGUCUGCUACCAAGAGAGUCCCACAAGACACCAAACAGACUAAGCUUGUAGAAGACUCAAAUCCCAAUCCACAGGACGCGGGUUCGACUCCCGCCACCUCCACCA